ensembl:snoRNA LOC120096420 small nucleolar RNA SNORA17
ACUGCCCCUAGAGGCAUUAUAGGUAUGUGUGCUAUGUCACAUGUAGGUAGUAGAGAGACUAUGCCAGAAUUCUGACCUCUGAACACCUGAUGAUUAGUAGCCUAACAGA